rnacentral:rRNA from 1 species
AUGAGAUCCAAGCAUCGGCAGCGGAGAGGAAGGGGGGAGAGCCCCACUCACGGGGAGACAGGGGAGGGGAGAGGGAGAGCAUCUUCACGCGGAGAGGAGAGCGGCCGGCCGCCGGCCAACGGGGCAGGGCUGAGGACGGGCCUGCCGAGGCGAGGAGGAGGGGAGGAGGGGAGGGGGGAUGAAAGAGGAGCCAUCUCCGAGGGAGUAUGUAUUAGGACCGCACACAAUGUUUGUGUUAUCCAUAGGUUUUUUUUACCAUUGAUUCGUUUUGAAGUCAUUAUUUCGAAAUGCAACAGCAAUUCGGAAUUUAUUUGCAAGAGAAGGGACAAUUUCACAUCCAUACAUUUGCAUUUACUCGUCAAAGUGAAACAAACUGAAAAAGGACAAAAAGGGUAA